rnacentral:snRNA from 1 species
GCUAACUUUGUAAGCAUGCAUACUAAAACUGGAACAAUACCGAGAUCAGCAUUUCCUGAACAAGGGUGAUAUACAAAUUUAUGAAGCAUUCCAUAUUUUU